GAGGAGUGGGACAAGUUAGUGCAGAACCCAUUUCUUGCCUUUUACCAGAGAUGGCCGUGAUUUGCCCACAAAACUCCUCUCAUAAAUCUUUGGACACACAAUGACAUAGCGGUCAUUAU
rnacentral:snRNA from 1 species